rnacentral:tRNA from 1 species
AUUUAUAUAGUUUAAUAAAAACAUUUCAUUUUCAAUGAAAAGAUAAAAAUUAAUUUUUAUAAAUU